rnacentral:rRNA from 1 species
UGGCCUACGGGGGGCAGCAGUGAGGAAUAUUGGUCAAUGGCCGCAGGGCUGAACCAGCCAAGUCGCGUGAGGGAUGACGGUCCUAUGGACUGUAAACCUCUUUUGUCAGGGAGCAAAGGGCGCCACGUGUGGCGUUUUGCGAGUACCUGAAGAAAAAGCAUCGGCUAACUACGUGCCAGCAGCCGCGGUAAUCCGUAGGUGGCGAGCGUUAUCCGGAAUGAUUGGGCGUAAAGGGUGCGUAGGCGGCCUGCUAAGUCUGGAGUGAAAGGUACCGGCUCAACCGGUACAGGCUCUGGAAACUGGCG